CCUACGGGUGGCUGCAGUAGGGAAUAUUGCUCAAUGGGGGAAACCCUGAAGCAGCAACGCCGCGUGGGGGAUGAAGGUUUUCGGAUUGUAAACUCCUUUUGUUAGAGAAGAUAAUGACGGUAUCUAACGAAUAAGCACCGGCUAAAUCCGUGCCAGCAGCCGCGGUAAUACGGAGGGUGCAAGCGUUACUCGGAAUCACUGGGCGUAAAGGGGGCGUAGGCGGGAUAGCAAGUCAGAUGGGAAAUCCUAGGGCUUAACCAUAGAACUGCCUUUGAAACUGUUGUUCUAGAGUAUGGGAGAGGUAGGUGGAAUGCUUGGUGUAGGGGUAAAAUGCGUAGAGAUCAAGAGGAAUACUCAUUGCGAAGGCGACCUGCUAGCACAUAACUGACGCUGAUGCGCGAAAGCGUGGGGAGCAAACAGGAUUAGAUACCCUUGUAGUC
rnacentral:rRNA from 1 species